GCCCUGGUGGUCCAGUGGUUAAGAUUCUGUGCUCUCACCCUGGUGGCCUGGGUUUGUUUCCCAGUCAGGACA
rnacentral:tRNA from 1 species